ACUGCUAUCGUUUAACUGUCCCUUUGCGACUUCAAUACACUGCAAAUACAUCAGAUAAACACUUAAAAUCAGUAGAAGGCUUUAAAACAAACACAUAGGAGAUUACAUAGGAGGAACUACUCUGAGCUGAUACUCACUCCUGGUUUGGGCAAUCUCAACGCUUAUAUAUAGAUCACAGGUGGUUAAAGAGACAUAAAUCAAGGCAAAUUAAGACGUUUUUUGCUGUCUUUACCCCAUUGGACAUGUGUAGUGGGUAGUAUCGCGACUUAUUUCCCCGAGGAGGCAUUUCUCGUACACACCCGGCCCCAGCCGUGGAGGGAGGAGGCUGGUGUGUUAUUUUUGUGUUUUUUGAAGCGAAUUAUCCUGUUGCCGAGGGAGCCAUGCAUCUGGAAACGGCUGGGGAAGGAGACGGUGGCUGAGUGGUUAGUGUGCCGGUCCUGCGUUCACUGCGUCAUGGAUGAUGAGGGUUUGAAUCUGUCGCUGCCACAGUCUACCUGUCCUGAAGACCACCACCAUCAUCCUGGACUGUAUGGGACUGUCCAAGGGAAAGCAAGAUGGGGCCGCUAUAAACACUUGCCGGCUUGGGCCCACCACCAGGCCCAGCCAAGGGAGGUUGGUGUAGCAGUGCUGGGAGGUGCCAUAACACAGGCACUCCUCACCUCAACAACAGUCUCUUCACCGACAAGUAAUUCUUCACCAACAAGCUUUCAGCAGCUUGGAGAAAUAGACACUACCAAACGAAGAAGAGGAGGAGGAGGAGGACUGGGAAGAAGACGAGGAACACAGGAGGAGCCCAUUGAGAGAACAAGAAGAAGAAGAAGAAGAAGAAGAAGAGGAGGACACAGGAAUUCCUUGGUUGGUGUAGCAGUGCUGGGAGGUGCCAUAACACAGGGCACUCCUCACCUCAACAACAGUCUCUUCACCGACAAGUAAUUCUUCACCAACAAGCUUUUCAGCAGCUUGGAGAAAUAGACACUACCAAACGAAGAAGAGGAGGAGGAGGAGGAGGAGGACUGGGAAGAAGACGAGGAACACAGGAGGAGCCCAUUGAGUGUGGGGUGUCCCGCAGGCAGGCAGACCGAGACGCCAGCCAUUCAAUUCUGCCGAGGGAAGGAAGUCGUGUUAGUCAACUCUGAUGACUUGUACUUUUCUACCUGUUCUGUAAGCCAGUCACAGAAGAUGUGAACUGUAUCUGUACUAUGAAGUCUUAUAAAUAAAGUUAAAGGCUACA